UACGUAGGGUGCAAGCGUUGUCCGGAAUCAUUGGGCGUAAAGAGCUCGUAGGCGGCCUGUCGCGUCUGCUGUGAAAUCCCGGGGCUCAACCCCGGGCGUGCAGUGGAUACGGGCUGGCUAGAGGCAGGCAGGGGAGAACGGAAUUCCCGGUGUAGCGGUGAAAUGCGCAGAUAUCGGGAGGAACACCGGUGGCGAAGGCGGUUCUCUGGGCCUGUACUGACGCUGAGGAGCGAAAGCGUGGGGAGCGAGCAGG
rnacentral:rRNA from 1 species